UGUGCCAUAUAUCGCGACCGCACCCCGUCAAAAACCGAAAUAGAAAAAGUAUUCUGUUGACGUUUAGGGGCACGUGGGUGCGUAUCAAUACGAAUUUGCCCCGAAAGGUCGGUUCGUUACGUGGGAGCGAUUACGCGAGGCGAGUAGCGGCGAGUUCAGUCAUCGUACGAAUUCCAGCGCGGCGGAAGUGACGAUACGAGCCGCUUCCUCGAACUUGUGUCGGUGAAACACGCGUGGGGCGUGUGUGGUACGUGUGUUCGCAACGUCCGGACGUUUACUGGUCCGUUCAGAUGCUCUGAGCAGAAGAAGAAGGAGGGUAACGGUGACCGAUAGAGAAAGUGUAUCGAGGAAAGAAGGACGAUGCAGUCGCGGCCAAGUAUCGCGAUCCGGUGUUAUUGCAGGCGGACGAGCGUGCGACGUCCUGCGAGACGCACGCUCGGUCCUUGAAGGACAACCGCGUUUUUCGUCUCCGGAGGAUGGAUUGCUCUCGAAGGAACGAGUUGCACCAGAGACGAGCAGCGGUUGGUUCUUACAUGACGACCACGCUGUCUUAUGAACCUGAUUGUCUCACUUGGUCGAGGCGCCUCGCCACGCUCAGCGCACGAUUAUGCAGCUGAAGAAAGCGAUGCUUAAGAUAUUCGAUCAAUUAGGCCUGCACUUGCGGAGCAUCGAAGAGCCGAGGAUGACGGCGGAGACGGCAGCUCCUUGUGUGCAGGGGAUGCAAGGGGUGCAGACCGUUAUGGCAGGUCAAGGCACAUUGCAACAAGUGCAAGAUGGAAAAUCCGGUGGUUACUAUUGUUCCACUUCUGCCGUCUACGAUGCGGAAUAUGCUCGCAUGGAAGCUUGGCUCGACGAACAUCCCGACUUCGUCAACGACUACUUUCUUAGGAAAGUGACGAGACAGACAGUGGACAUGUGGCUGGUAUCACACGCGACGCCAACAUCUUCGUCGAGCAGUUGCAUGGAGCUGUCGAGUCCGACUCACACCGGUGGCACAUCGUCCUCGGGUCGAGGUGGUUCUGGUGGAUCAGGUGCGACGACACCCGUUCGAAAGAUCUCGGCACAUGAAUUCGAACGAGGUGGUUUAUUAAAACCGAUCGUUAACACGAUCGACGGUACACCGACCUUCCUCAGCGUUUCACCCGGUGAUUCCGGCCAGCCGGGUGUACAACAAGUUGGCUCUGGAAACUCGAGCAGACCCCAAAGACGAUCCAGACAUGAGCUCAGGCAUCUCGACGAAAAGGAUCUCAUCUUUGAAUUGGUUAAGGACAUCUGUAACGAGCUAGACGUGAGGUCAUUGUGUCACAAGAUCUUGCAGAACGUGAGCACCCUGUUGCACGCCGAUCGUGGCUCGCUGUUUCUCGUCCAGGGCGAAAGAGGUGGUGGUUGCAUGCCUUCGUCGCAAAAUCACGAUUCCACGUCGAAUUAUUCGAGCGGCAACGCGAACCUAAAUAAAACGGGAAACGGGAACUCGGAACAACGUGGCGGUACGGGAUACUCGAGGAGCAGAUGUCUGGUCUCGAAGUUGUUUGAUGUGUGUUCAAGGUCGACGUUACUCGAGAUGGAGAAGAAAGACGAGAUCAAAAUUCCCUGGGGCACGGGAAUCGUCGGAUACGUCGCUGAAAGCGGGGAACCUGUUAACAUACCGGAUGCUUACAAGGACUCGAGGUUCAAUCGUGAAAUCGAUGCAUUAACAGGGUAUAGAACUAGAGCCCUAUUGUGUAUGCCAAUAAAGGACUGUAGUGGAGACGUAAUUGGAGUUGCACAAGUAAUUAACAAACUUGGUGGCGAAGGUCAAUUCACCGCACAAGACGAAAAAGUUUUCGCUGGUUAUUUACAAUUUUGUGGUAUUGGAUUACGAAAUGCACAAUUGUACGAAAAAAGUCAAUUGGAAGUGAAACGAAAUCAGGUACUUUUGGAUUUGGCUAGAAUGAUUUUCGAAGAGCAGAGUACAAUAGAACACAUGGUGUUGCGAAUAUUAACGCACACGCAGUCGUUGAUACAAUGCCAACGAGUACAGGUUCUCCUCGUGCACAAAGCGUCAAAGGGUAGUUUUUCCCGGGUGUUUGACUUCGAGGCGAACGACCUUACCGGCGAGGAUUCAGAUUCUCGCACUAGAAACCUUACAUGUAUUCGGUUUUGUUCAUGCAGUCCAUUCGAGAGUAGAUUCCCUAUAAAUGUUGGCAUCACUGGUUACGUUGCUACGACUGGUGAGACGGUAAAUAUACCGAAUGCCUACGAGGAUCCAAGGUUCGACCCUUCGGUUGACGAUGGUACCGGUUUCAGGCAUCGUACCAUACUUUGCAUGCCCAUCAAGAACUCAUCGGGUCAGAUCAUCGGCGUCAUUCAACUGAUCAACAAGUUCAACGACCUCGCCUUUACAAAGAACGACGAGAAUUUCGUCGAAGCGUUCGCUAUUUUUUGUGGCAUGGGCAUUCAUAAUACGCACAUGUACGAAAAAGCUGUGAUAGCAAUGGCCAAACAGAGCGUCACGUUAGAGGUAUUGAGUUACCAUGCUUCUGCAUCGUUAGAGGAUGCACAAAGACUUAGGGGCUUGAGAGUGCCUUCCUCAGCGCAUUUUCAGUUGCACGAUUUUAAGUUCGACGACAUUCACAUGGAAGACGACGAUACGCUAACCGCGUGUCUUCGAAUGUUUUUGGAUCUCGACUUCGUCGAACGUUUUCAUAUAGAUUACGACGUUCUUUGUCGUUGGCUUCUCAGUGUAAAAAAGAAUUACCGAAAUGUUACGUACCAUAAUUGGCGUCACGCAUUUAACGUCGCUCAAAUGAUGUUCGCCAUUUUAACUGCCACACAAUGGUGGAAAAUUUUUGGGGAGAUCGAAUGUCUCGCUCUGAUAAUUGCUUGUUUGUGUCACGACUUAGACCAUAGAGGCACGAAUAACUCUUUCCAAAUUAAAGCAUCAUCACCACUGGCACAACUGUAUUCGACGUCGACGAUGGAGCACCAUCACUUCGAUCAGUGUCUGAUGAUACUAAGUAGUCAAGGAAACCAAAUCCUGUCGAAUUUAUCCCCCGAAGAAUAUUCUCGCGUGGUAAAAGUUCUUGAAGAGGCGAUCCUCUCUACCGACCUAGCAGUUUACUUCCGAAAGAGGGGCGCUUUCCUUAGUUUAGCCAGGGGUGGUGGUUACAAUUGGGCAUAUAGCGAACAUCGAGAACUUCUGCGAGGAAUGUUAAUGACCGUCUGCGAUUUAGCUGCUAUAACCAAGCCUUGGGAUGUCGAGAAAAGGGUAGCAGAAUUAGUCAGCAGCGAGUUCUUUGAACAAGGAGAUAUCGAAAGGCGGACCCUCAAUAUUACUCCCAUUGACAUUAUGAAUCGAGAAAAGGAAGAUCAGCUACCAAUCAUGCAAGUUGGCUUCAUCGAUUCGAUCUGCCUUCCUAUUUACGAGGCAUUUGCUUUAUUAUCGGAUAAGCUGGAACCGUUGGUCGAAGGUGUACGUCAGAAUAAACAACACUGGCUCGAGAUUGCAGAGUCCAGAUGCAAGAUGGAGAACUGCACAAACCAUGAUAGGACGCCAACGAUGACCGAUAACGAAGUAACCAGCGAGCAGGCGGACCAAUAAUCAUUCUUACGAAAUGAUAGAAUAUAGUAAUAAUAGUAAUUUUGCCUGUUUUCGGAACAAAAAAUUUCUAUGGGGGCAGGUGUUCGCCAUCACAGUACAUUCUUAAAGCUGUGCACCUUUGUCUCGAUACUAUAUAGAUUAUUGAGGAAUCAGUCUUGAUUGCUUUUUCUUUUUGGAGUUUUGUUCUUGCAUCGCAUGAGGCCUAAGUUUGGCCUGUAACUGGUAUGGUGGACAUUUUGUGGGGACCAUAACCUCACAGAAAUAUUUAGAAACUUAUAGGAUACUUGUCAAGGAUAAAUUAUUAUAAUAAAUUAUUGUAGGUAAUUUGCAAAAGUUUCCAUUAUUUUUAAGACAAUUUUUUAUUAGUAUUUGGUAGUUGAUAGAAUAUUUUUAAUCCAAGUAUUUUGUCUCUGUGGGAUAAAGAAGAAAUCUGUAUUCUUAGAGCGAAUAGUCAUUAACGUUGGUAAAUUAAUAAUAAUUAUUAUUGUGAAAUCAUUUAUAAAUCCUAUGUAAUACAAUAAUAAUAACAAUUGUCCAUAAAUGUGACAAAUGUCUUUUGUCGCUUUAGUAGUUAUUUUGUGCUGACUAAAUAAUGACGAAUAUGUGUCCUAUCAAUUCUCAUCCUCGCGCGAAUUAAGAAUGUAGUUAUGUCAAUAGAUAUAGAUUAUCCCGUGUCACAUUUUAUGCAAAUUAAUCAACAUUAACAUAAUAAAACAGAAUACCUUACAAUGGAAACUUUUGCACAGCAUCAAAUAAGAAAAAGAUAGUAUUGUUUAUACUUAAAAACUAGAUAAGUAACAUUUUAUAAAAUGUAACUCGGGUCUUAUGGACCCCACCUUACCAGUUUCGGGUUAACGUGAACAACUUGUUCCAAUACUCGAACGUCUUAAAAAAAAAAGGAUUAUUAUCAUGUAUAUUUUACUAUUGGUGAAGUAAGAAAGACCAUGGAGGCUUGAAGGUGAUUAUGUUUAAGACGAUCGAGGAACUUCGUCCUCUCUUUAGUAAUAAAAUAGAUCGACCCCUUAGAUGCUACUCUUGUACCUGAUCGUAUUAUACGUAUACUUAUUAUGGCAGAUCUUUGAUGUUCAGAGAGGACGAAGAAGGACGAAACGAAAACUACGAAAAGGCGAGAAAAAACGAAAACCACCCGGAAGAAUCAAAAUGAUCUUCCUUUUGUAUACGAUGAUUAUUAAUUGAAGACUUGGGUCAUUUUUGUAAUACUAAAUUUUAAUUUAUUAGUAUGGUUGCUACCAGUGUAACAUGUGACGUCCUCAAUAUUUUGUGUGUCAACAUAAUUUGCAAGCUUCCUUUAGUAGAAAGAAGUAUAGGGCAGUAAGUCAGGUUUAGGGAAAUUUAUAAACAACUAGGCAGAACCUAACCUUUAUAGAAACCUAACCUAACCUGUAUAAAGUCUUCUGUAAUUCCCCCACUCUUCCUAUCAAUCAAGGGGUGUCUAAAUUAUUAUCUAAGCAUACAAAUGUUAUAUAUAAAAUAUGUCAUACUAAAUGUUAUACUAAAAUAUUAUUUCUGCUUCCAAAAAAAUUAUGCAAUUGAGCACUGGUAGCUACUGUAUUAAUUACACAAUACAAGAUGUUGAAUAAUUAAAACAAAUUUGAUAAAGAAUGAUUUCUUAACAGUUAAUAUUAUGAAAAGUAAUGUAGUGUUAUUUUUGUACUAUUAAAAUAGAACUGGAUGUUGAAAGCAAGAAGAAAAUUGCAAUGAAAUGAAUAACAAAAUAUUUGUUGUUAGUUUUAUCCAGGUCUUCAAUUAAACAGACGAAUGAUUCCUGAAUAAUUCAUGGAUACAGGUAAAAGGAAAGCUCGAUCUUUGGAAAUCGCGAUUUACAUGAAAAUUAUCUCCCACAGGAGAGCUUGCACGGCUAAGAAUCGAAUCGUGUUUGUAAUUAUAAAUAUAAUAUAUUCGUAAAAAACCAAAGUGCACAUUUUACACAUCAAGAUUAAUCGUGAUCCUUUAUUGCUUAAUGUGACAAUUGAUUUUAAAUUGUCUGUUGCGCGUGCUGAUUAUUGUAAUUAGUAGUUGGACGAGAUAAAACCGUCUCUAUCUUGCUUAUCAUUAAUCGUUUUGUAACGUACAUUUUAGAUUCGAAUAAUCGUUUUCUUUCUUCGCACGGAUACUUGGAAAUCAAAGAAAAAGAUACGUCCUGAAAAUUUAUGAAAAGAACACGCGACGAAAACAUAUCAUUAUCGAUAAUUUGCAUAAAAUCGUUCACGAUUAUUAUAAUUAACAGACGACGUGUCUUGGUUCAUUCGAGUCACCGAAAAAGAUGUAUCAGAUGAAGAGCAAAGUGAAAGAUAUUUGAAAAAAAAAUAUGGUUGUAACUGUAAUUAUGAAUUGUAGUUUACAGUUAUAGCUAUAACUAUAAAUUUAUAGUUAUUUAUUUUGAGCAAGUAUAGUUAUUUUGAGCUGUAAUUGUAGUAAUUUGUUACUGUAAUAUAUAAUACUAGUAUAAUGUUUUAUAUUAACAUAUUACUACAAUUAUAGUUAUAUCGUUGGAGGUAUGAUUAUAUAACUGCAGAUGUAAUUAUAAUUUUAUAGGUAUAGCUAUACUAAAGUAAAGUCACUAUAAUUAUAGUUAUAUUGCUAUAAUUAUAGGUGUAGUACAUAUCUGUAGUAGCGGACAAUAUCUACAAUUAUAAUUUUCCAGCUUUAAUUAAAGCAGCGCAAUGCUACUACAUUAAUGUGAUCAUAGCAGUUUAUAAUAUUUGCUACAGGGUUGUAUCUAUAAUUUUGUAUCUAUAGUUAUAGUAAUAAAUAAUAUUACUAUGGUAUUAACUAUGUUCUUUUCAGUAUAAUUACACUUAUGUAGUGUAAUAUUGUAUAACAUUACAAUAUUAAUAUAGCGUCAAACAGCUACUACAAUCAUAAUUUUAUAAAUCACAGCUGUAGUAAUAUAACAUUACUAUAAUUAUAGAUGCACAGUUAUAGCUAUAACUAUACUAAAAUUAUUUAAAACUUACAACUAUAAUUAUAACUACAAAAUUAUAGUUACAGCUAUACGUAUUAUGUAUGUAAUAUCUUUCCUUGCACUUUCAUCAUUUAUCACAUUACUUACAAACGAAUUAUUUCCACAAAAUAUCUUUCAAUUCACAAAUUGUGUAUACCUGCAUCAAUCCCAACUAUAGAAACGUAGCUUAGCGAAAGCGAAGGCGAUAUCAACAUUUGUUCACGUGUGAUUUGUUACUUAUAACGAUAGCUCGUAUGUCGUAUAUGUUCCUUUUCAUUGUUCGAGUGUCCUCUUUUUUUAAUUGUCGAUAGACUCUUGUAAAUUUUCAUUGACUUCGUAAUGGGAGAGAGGGUGUAAAGAGGUAUGACAAGAAAGUAAUUUGCGUGUGCGUGUUGUCGAACGAAUGAUCAUUGAAUGACUGGACGAAGAAAAUGGCGUCGUGUACAGUUUCCGUGUAAAUUAUUGAUACGUCGAAACGAUGAUGUUUUAGGGUGUACGCCGUUUACUAUUACGAUUUAACAUACAAUAUGAGAGUCAUAUAUUAUAUCAAACAAUAUCUAAUAUAUUAAAGCGAAACUAAAUUAUGUGAUACACGUAUAAA
rnacentral:misc_RNA from 1 species